rnacentral:rRNA from 1 species
GCUCAGAACGAACGCUGGCGGCAGGCCUAACACAUGCAAGUCGAACGAAGGCCCAGAGCUUGCUCUGGAUCCCUUAGUGGCGCACGGGUGAGUAACGCGUGGGAAUCUGCCCCGGAGCGGGGAAUAACAGUUGGAAACGGCUGCUAAUACCGCAUACGCCCUGAGGGGGAAAGGCUUCGGCCACUCUGGGAUGAGCCCGCGUUAGAUUAGCUUGUUGGUGAGGUAAAGGCUCACCAAGGCGACGAUCUAUAGCUGGUCUGAGAGGAUGAUCAGCCACACUGGGACUGAGACACGGCCCAGACUCCUACGGGAGGCAGCAGUGGGGAAUAUUGGACAAUGGGGGAAACCCUGAUCCAGCCAUGCCGCGUGAGCGAAGAAGGCCCUAGGGUUGUAAAACUCUUUCAGUGGCGACGAUGAUGACGGUAACCACAGAAGAAGCCCCGGCUAACUCCGUGCCAGCAGCCGCGGUAAUACGGAGGGGGCUAGCGUUGUUCGGAAUUACUGGGCGUAAAGCGCACGUAGGCGGCGUGAAUAGUUAGGGGUGAAAGGCCUGGGCUCAACCUGGGAACUGCCUCUAAUACUGGCAUGCUAGAAUCCGGGAGAGGGUAGCGGAAUUCCAAGUGUAGAGGUGAAAUUCGUAGAUAUUUGGAAGAACACCGGUGGCGAAGGCGGCUACCUGGACCGGUAUUGACGCUGAGGUGCGAAAGCGUGGGGAGCGAACAGGAUUAGAUACCCUGGUAGUCCACGCCGUAAACGAUGAGUGCUAGUUGUCGGGGGCUUGCCCUUCGGUGACGCAGCUAACGCGUUAAGCACUCCGCCUGGGGAGUACGGCCGCAAGGUUAAAACU